GAUGAACGCUGGCGGCGUGCCUAAUACAUGCAAGUCGAGCGAACAGAUGAUGAGCUUGCUCCUCUGACGUUAGCGGCGGACGGGUGAGUAACACGUGGAUAACCUACCUAUAAGACUGGGAUAACUUCGGGAAACCGGAGCUAAUACCGGAUAAUAUAUUGAACCGCAUGGUUCAAUAGUGAAAGACGGUUUUGCUGUCACUUAUAGAUGGAUCCGCGCCGCAUUAGCUAGUUGGUAAGGUAACGGCUUACCAAGGCAACGAUGCGUAGCCGACCUGAGAGGGCGAUCGGCCACACUGGAACUGAGACACGGUCCAGACUCCUACGGGAGGCAGCAGUAGGGAAUCUUCCGCAAUGGGCGAAAGCCUGACGGAGCAACGCCGCGUGAGUGAUGAAGGUCUUCGGAUCGUAAAACUCUGUUAUUAGGGAAGAACAAAUGUGUAAGUAACUAUGCACGUCUUGACGGUACCUAAUCAGAAAGCCACGGCUAACUACGUG
rnacentral:rRNA from 1 species